AAGAUGUUAUACUUCACAGUGAGGGCUAGUUUCUAAACAUGAAAGAACACAUAGCUUAUGUAACAUGACAUUUGUUGGAGAAUAUGCUCUAGAAAAUCAUGAUAUCACAGAUAUAUACUAAAUAUCUGAAGGAGAUUAAGGAGAAAACAUUUCCAGCAGAGGAGUUCUUUAAUAUAGACAGAGCUUGUUUCAGAAUUGGUAUCUUCCUGAAUAUUUGGCUGCUUGGAAAAAGUUACGUUGGUGCCGGGGUUCAGCCCUCGCCUGGACAGGUGGCCACUAGAGUCAUUAGCAUGGACAUUGGCACCAGUGACUACGUAGAUCCCAGGAUCCCAGGAUCCCAGGAUCGUAGCCAGUGGCCUGGGCUGCCUCCAGAGACCACUUGAGAGGUGCAGAGACUGUGGGCCAGCCCCUCAUUCUUGUCUGAGACGGUGACGUCCUCUCCAUUCUGCACAGCUAGCAGAGCUCUGAAAUGAAUGGCUUCAUUUAAUCACAAAAGAAGGAAUACCAGCAAGACCACCCAGGCCCCAGCUCCAGUUUUUCCUAAAGAAUUUGGCCACAUCUCCCUUUUUGAAGGCAGAGUUUCAUCUUGCCUCAGGCAGAAGCAACUUCCUGGGCAUGCGCCUUAAGAGACAAAAAUGGUGACGUUUGACGACCACUCCACCAGAAAAGGGAAGAAAGCCUCAGAGGGGCCGGCGUGGAACGCCCUAAACACACUGCGCAUGCUCCAUCCCAAAGGGUAAGGCGAGCGCUGCGCACGCAGGAAACCCAUCCUGUAAGGGAAGAAUUCCUGGGGAAGAGGCGAGCCUAUGAAGUCCCAGGAUCAAGGUUAAAGACCCUCUUUUUUUUACUGUCUUCUUGUGCUCUCUUUUCUCUCUUGGACCUUCAGGCGCCUGCGUAGGUCUCUUUCAAGCGAAUUUUUCCUUUCUUUCCUGUUCUAAAGCCUUUUAACUAAACUUCCACUCCCGCUCUGAAACUUGCUCGGUCUCUUUUUCUGCCUUACGCCCCUCAGUCGAAUUCUUUCUUCUGAGGAGGCAAGGACUGCAGUUGCUGUGGACCCAUAGGGAUUCGCCCUUGGUAACUCGGGGUAACUCGGGUGUCUUGCACUGCUGACAUAUGUAGCAAGUCCUGUCUUCGGGUUGGCAGGCACCACGGCUGACACCACAUGCGCAGAGCGAGGGGAAAGACCAAGAAGUGACUCAUGACAUCACCCUCGUCUCUGGAAGACAAGAUGUUGGUCUCGUCAGGUGCCCUGCAGUCUUCAGUGUUGGCUGCAACCAGAGCCCCAGCAAUGCAGACCAGGAUGAGGGAAAGCCACUGGAAGAGGCCUACAGCAUUUUUUAUUAGUAAAUCCAGAGAACGUGUUAUAUAAAGUGUAAGACAAUCACCA